UCUUCCAGAUCAGCUUCCUUCUCAUUCCAUCUCUAUGUGCCCAGAGCUUCAAAUACAGCCCUUCCAGUCAGACUGCCACAAAACUUCAAUCAGCUGCUUUUCCGCCUGGAAGAGAUGGACAUACAACCUAGAUGGAUCGCCUGAGUGACAAAAAAAUGGGUGAAAGUCCAGAUGAAGAUCAUCCUGGGGACUUGGUGGACUCGAGGCACCCAAGAUGAAAGGCAGAGAAACAGCGGAAACAAAAGCUCAUGUCUUAAACUCUGUCACCUCCUCCCAGCGCUUCCUUGAGCCCUGAAAGCCUGCUCGGGUCCGUCUUCUGAGUCAAGGUGCUGCGGUCUUCCUGUGGUUCCAUCUUCCAUGCAGCUGUGCCUCCCAUGUGGGCCUCCAUGAGACCAGAACAUUCCCCCAAGUCCAAGCUUCUGACCUCUCCUUCUCACAACAGUAGCCCACAGUCCUGGCUAUGCUUGGAUCAGGAGUUACAUGUGCACUCAUGCUUAUAAACAAACAAUAAAUAUCACUGAAAAUUUUAGCAUUUCCUCUAAGAUUGUACCGUCUAAAUGGAGGCUGUAUAUAUCCGGAUAAACUCACAAACAUUGGUGAAGCUGAUGGUACUCUCGUCUGAUUGACGGGGAAGCUAAGGAUCAGAGAGGGUAAGUACCUUGUCUAAGAACACCCAGACACAAUCCUAACCCCUCUGUAGGAA